rnacentral:lncRNA from 1 species
UCUAAAUAAAUCACUGUACGUCAACCGCCUCACCGCCCAGAACACUCCUUCCAUCGCCGCCCUUCGGCGCCGAUUGCGGCCAUCACCUGCAACCCCCCUCCCCACCUCAACUCGCCCAGAUCGCCACCCUGCAACGCAGAGCACGACGCCCUUCAGCGCCCAGCCCGGCCGUCGGCUGCAACGACCCCCAUCCCUACCUCAACAACCAGAUCGAUCUGAUCUCGCUGCCCUUCAGCACCUAGCACAGCCGUCGGCUGCAACGACACCCAUCCACACAUCAAUCACCGGAUCGAUUUGGUUGUUCCUCCACCUGCCUCAGAGCCGUUUGGAUUUGGCUAUUCCUCAACUGUAAGUAUUCUUGAGAUUGACUUGUUGACCCAUGCCUACAUACGAGACGCUGCUGAGUUAGUUAGAAUUGAACUCCAAGCCCAUGUAUCAUCAGAUUUAGGCAGGCAGGACCACCUCCGGCCAUCCGCUGAGCCAUGAGCGACUCCUGUCCUCCACCUACAGAGUACUAACCUCAAGUUCUGCUUUUUAGCAUUGCCAUGCACCAAAGUAUCCAUUCUAUUCGUAAGUUCUGCUACAAAGUAAUAAUGUGCAGGUUGAUGGUCGUGUGGUUUGCAGUUUCUGUUAGCCAGAAGAUAGGACUAAAAGUAUAUCAUAGUUCAGUGAAUUUUAAGACUUAUCAUUAUCUGACAAAGUUCAGAAGAUAGACAUACAACAUAAACAGAGGUACAACUAGUACGAUGGCAAAUGCAUGACACAAACAGCUAGUAUAGCUAGUUCCAUGUCUAUCGGUCCCAAGUCUGUAGGGGUAUUUUCUAAUAAAUAGAUACAAUAAUCCAUCAUUUUUAUUUUGGACUUUGUGUUGUGCCCUCUAAUUUGCGAGUUGGUGAAUGUAUUGUUGAUUUUACUCUAUAUUUGUCAGCCUGUAAGAUCCUGUAUAACCAGUUCAUUUUAUUGUUUAGUAGUUUCUUUUAAGCAUCUGAAUGAACAACUUCAUAUAAGUGUAGCAACCUUGUUUUUAUAAAAUCAAAUUGUACUCGGUUCAACUCUCACAAAGAAGACACUAUGUUCUAUUACAGAUUAUAUUUAUUAAGCGAUAAAAGACUAUAUUUUGACGAUGACAUAGGCCCUAUUUUAGAGUUUGGCACACGACCAUUGAUUUUGCCCGCCCGGCCCUGCAAGUAACCGGUUAGCGACCAUAAGUUGAAAGCCAGAAAAUUGGUAAAAAAAAGAGAUCCUUGGAUAUAUUCCUCAUGUAUUUCCUUUCAUGUGAAAUAAAUAAGUGCCUACUAAAAUGGACGAUCAGUAAUUGAGUAGUUGUUGUAGUGCACAAUAAGUAGAAUAAAUCGACCUACCUAAAUAUCAUAUAGAAAAUAGGUGUUCUUUGGCUGUUUCAAAGAAUGAAGUGUAGUAAUAGUAUAAUCAGAUGUGUUCAAUAUCCAAACUGUCAGAGUUCAUGCAUCCUAAUUGGCUGCAUCUUCCACUUAAAUGAGUUGUGGUUUAAUCCUCCCAAACCACGUUAUCAUGCCUGCUUGAGAACUUGAUUUUGUUACUAGUUUUGUUUGAUCUGCUAUAUGCAAGUAAGCCUUAGUGGGCUCUGAUAAACAGAUUUCAGCAAGGUAAUAACUGCAAACAACAACUAGGAUGUGGGAUGGCGUCUCUCUCCCACCUCCCUGGGCGGCGACCCAAUGGCGAUCUGGAAUUCUAGCCGGCAUCUCAUCCACCCUUGCCGCCCCUCUGCUGAGGUGAACCUUCUCUACCCUUCUCUCGCGGCUGGUCAUGGCCUGCAUGGGGGGUUCCACGUUGGAUCUGGAUUUCUCGCAUGGAUUGGCUUUCUCUCAUGAGGUUUAUCGCCACUCGGGUUUUACGGUGCACCCUAUGAAGCAUCGUCGCCCCUUCAUUAUGGUGAUCUCUUUUGGUCGUCACGUGUUCCGGCUAUCGCCUGACACAGUGGCUGCAGCUCUGGAAUCGGUGAUUGGUGGUUCGGCUAUCGAGUUUCGAGUUUCUCAAAUCACAGAUUCGGUUUUCUCUUUCAAGGUCUCAUGCAUGCAAGUUGGUUUUCACAUUCUGGAAUUGCGUUCUUUCAAGUGCUCAAAUUUUAAGUGCUUCUUCCAUCUUUGGGGACAUGGAGGUCCUAAUUGGCGUCGGGAAUUUGCUCUCUGGAAGAAGCAAUGUGAUGCCGAGUGGAUUAUUGUGAGCCCCUCCAAGCGGAGGGCUUCUCUAGGUCUGAUGGCCAUGCAUUCCACACCACUUAAGUCUUCUCUCAAAUCUGGAUCUUCUGUUCGUAAGAAGCUAUCUUUUGCAUCCCUUCAACAAUAUGAGGUUUGCAAGGGCUAUAGGUACCCUGUUUCCCAUGAUGAGCUAGUCACUCUUGAGCAAGUUGGUUAUUCGGUGCCUACCCCUGAACGUGUCAUCAUCUCUGCACCACCGCCAGCGGAACUCCGGUGGAUGGUAGCCACGCCGCACAUUACAUUUGGCACAGUUCCUUGCCAAGUUUCAUCCCCCGGUUCUCUCGGCAAAAAUUUUCAAACUGCCAAAAUUUUCGGAACUUCCCACGUGCAGCAAAAGGAUACAGCUAAUCCAGCCGAGAUUCAAGGCUCUUUCAAUAGUGGGAAUCAAUCGUCGGGGGCAAGCUUGGAUUCUGGACAAAUCUCCUCUCUUAUUAAUGAGCCUGCUAAGGGUUUUUCAUCCUCUGGGCCUGAUACUAAUUCCAUGAUGGAUAUUCCUUCUUCUCAGGAGGCCCAUACGGCCUUUGACGAGCUUAUUAAUAGUAUGGUUGAGGAUAUCUUUUCUUGCUCUAUUUGCAACGCUCGGGGCCAUCUAGCCGCAAACUGUACGGCUUCGCCUGGCUACUCUGACAGCACGAUGGGCCACGCACGAUCUAGAGGAGCCUCUUUUAUGCGUAAUAAUUGUCUUACUUGGAACUAUAAGAGACCCAUCACCUCCCCUGUCGCUGAUAUCUCGGGAACUGCUGAUACCCUUGGCGAAACAGCAACCCCUGCGAAGCAGUUCCGUCGUGUCUCAUCGCCGUCGCCUCCUCGAACUCCCUCGACGACACCACCGGUCACUCCGCCACCGCCACCAGCAAUGGCAAACUUCGAGCUUGAUCCAGAGUUCUUCCUCCCGCCUGGUCACAACAUCACUGAUGGAGGGGUUGACUGGCUGCCGCGGACCUACACCAUGCCGGCAGUACCCGUCACCAGGCGCCACGAGCGCUUCAUCAUCGCCAUAGUUCAUCCAGUGCCGCCUGCUGAUGAGGUGAUUCAGGUACGACAAGAAGUCGCUGCCCUUCUCCUGCAUCAAGGAUUCCAUGUCCGGUCUGCUCAACCCUGGAUGGAGGGAGUGGGUUUGUUUGAGCUCCGGGAUGCGGUGGAGAGUUAUGCUACAGUCCACAUGGUGCCGCAGCCUCUUGCAAACUCGGUGGUGCGCUUCAUACGUCAUGAUCAUGGUCUCGGCUUCCGCGGCCAAGAGGGUUUUCGUCAGGGCUGCCUCAUGCUUCUGGGGGUACCAUUGGAUUUCCGCAACACCGAAGAUCUCAGGGCGGCUGUUAACACCUUUGGGGAGUUUCAUCAUUGGGUCCAUGACGACCCAUAUUUGGUUCGUUCUAUUGUUUUUGCCGCCUUCCCAAAAGACCGGCUAGUACCUCGCAGUAUCAGUUUCUCAGAAUAUUCUGCUUGGCAUGGCGCAAAGGUGUCCUGGUCUGCUCCUGUGUACAUUUUGGGUACGACGGCUGCAGAGAUUCUCCCCAAUGAUGAGGAUCCGAUGCCUCUCAAUGGCAACCCUCAUCCGCUCCCCGGGCAGCUUGUUCAUGACAAUCUGCAAUUUGCUUUGCCCCCAUAUCCUGCACUAGGAUGGAAUGCGGUGCCACUCGCCCCUGGAGAUCCUGGGCCUGCCGCUGCGGAUGCUGAAGACGGUGGCUGGGGGCUGCCGCCCGUCGAUCUUGAGGCAGGAGGCUGGGGUCAACCGCCUGCUGAUGGAGGAGGCUGGGAACAGGUUGCGGCACCUGCUGCGCCCGCUGAUGCGCCUGCUGUUGAUCCAGUUCAAGACCAGGAAUCAAUGGUGAUUGAUCAGCCGAGUCCCUCCUCCUCGGACUCGGUGCACGAAAUGGUGGUUGAUCCACAGCACGGUCAGAGGGCGGAGGAACCGGUCGCUCCAGAACCACCAGUGCAUCUUCCUGAUGCCGCUAAUGUUUCUAUUGAUGAUGCUGAUACUGCUGCUCUCGCUGAUGCCCCAGACAAUGCUGCUGUGCCGGAGGCUGGUGCUGCUGGUCCUGAUGCUGGUCGGGACAAUGGGGCUGAGCUGGAGGAAGAAGAGCCUAGGCUGGAGGAGGUGCACGAUACAAACCCUGUGGCGAUGGUUCUCUACAAACCCCCUCCACCCGCUCAGUCCAACCUCCUUGUCGGGGCGUCUAGGGUUUUAUAUGGGCCUCCGUUGCCCCCAGUGAUGUCCUGGGCACGCACUUUUGAUAAUCUGAUGGGCCCUGCUGCUGCUAUGCAUAUACCUCGUCAGUUCCAGCUGCCAAUCCUUGAGCCCAUCCUGAUCCCCAAGCGAUCCUGGGACGUGGCUUUUGAUGCUGAUACUCUAGGACCUUCACUGUCGGACCCUGCUUCUGCCUCGCUCUCACUACAGGAGGUAACCCCUAUCAGCCCAGCUUCUUCUUCAGAGGACUUAUCCUUCCGCUCUCCUGCUCCAUCCAAGAAGGGGUCCUGCAAGAAGGCCACCCCGGUGGUGGACUCCUCGGUGAGGCGGUGUACUCGUGGCUCAAUCAAGCGCGACGGCUUCAAGCCAAUUCUGCAAGAGCUACCUGCACACAUCCCCAAGAAAAGGAAGCCGAAAGCCAAGCCUAUGUCCUCAACGUCACAGGAGUCUGAAGAUGUACCUCCUGCCACUCCUAUCCCAGUGAUCCAAGAGGUAGGGCAGUCAUUGGGCAUAGCCCCGGAGAAGCUCACGGUGGAUCGACUUAUGGAAGAUCCUGCUGACUCUGCGCCCACAUCUUUUGAUGUUUAAUCCGCCCAUGUUAAGUUGUUACUGUACAGGUUUUAUGUAUUGUCGAACUUCUGCUGUCUUUUGGUGCUUGAAACUUCGGUUGCAGUGGCUAUUACAUAGCCUUGCUUUUGCUAUAUCUCUAAUUUGCAAUGGAUAGUCGUUCCACGAGGAGUUGGCGUGUGCUGUGCUGGAAUGUGCGUGGCCUCAAUUCGGAUCAUAGACAACGGGCAGUCCGUAACAAAAUCGAUGAGAGCCUUGCUGCGGUGGUCUGCUUGCAGGAAACAAAGAUGCAGUCUAUCGAGUUUCGAGCAGUUAAAGGUUUUUGCCCCAAACGUUUUGAUCAAUUUGCUUACUCCCCUUCCGGGGGUGCAUCAGGAGGGCUCAUCACCCUUUGGAACUCUUCCAUUCUCACUGGUCACUUAGUACAGUGCACCCCAUAUGGCUUGAUCACCUCCUUUACCUCAAAUCACACAGGUGAAUCAUGGACUUUGGUUAAUGUCUACAGACCAUGUCAAGGGGAGGCCCGUGAUCUUUUUGUGAGCUGGCUUUACAAUCUUCAUAUCCCCACUGGGGCUAACUGGCUACUCCUUGGGGACUUUAAUUUCAUUAGAUCUCCUGACAACAGAAACCUCCCUGGGGCUGAUGUAAAUGACAUGUUCAUCUUCAAUGAAAUUAUUGGGCAUUUGGGAUUAUUGGAGCUUCCCAUCAAAGGUAGAUCCUACACUUGGUCCAAUAUGCAGGACACCCCUCUUCUGGAGCAGUUGGACUGGUUCUUUACAUCCACCAACUGGAUCUCCUCUUAUCCUCUCACCCAAGUGCUCCCUCUGGCAAAGACUGCAUCUGAUCAUGUGCCUUGUGUGGUCACUGUUAACACCUCCAUCCCCAAAUGCAACUUAUUUCGUUUUGAGAACUACUGGGUUGAAAUGGAGGGCGUUAUCGAAUGUGUGCAACAAUCAUGGCUCAUUCCUUCAAGAAAGACUCACAUCUCUGCUAUUAUCAUGGAUAAGAUGAAGCAUCUUAGGCAGGCUCUGAAGAAAUGGCAGACGUCUCUGUCUCAGUUAAAACAUCUUAUUUCCAGAUGCAAUCAAGUGAUGCUAUGCUUGGAUGAGCUUGAAGAGCUGAGGUACUUAUUCAGGCCGGAAGCUAAUUUCAGGAAAAUUGUCAAAUUGCAUUUGGAACAUCUGCUACACCUUCAGUGUUUAUACUGGAAGAAGAGGGCCACUAUUUGAUUUGUUAAAGUUGGUGAGGAAAACACUAAGUUCUUUCAUGCUAUGGCCACUGAACGGUAUAGGAAGAAUUCCAUUGCCUCUCUCAAGUUAAAUGAUGGUUCUAUUAUCUCUGAUCAUGAUCAAUUUGCUGCAUGCUUCUCGGCAUCUUUCAAAGAUCGAAUGGGAACUUCUCUUGGCAUUAAUAUGGCAUUUGACUUAGACUCCCUAUUGGAUGAAGUUCAGGGACUAGACAUUCUCACAGAACCUUUUUCCAAGUCUGAAAUGGAUAAAACUGUGCAUGAUAUGCCUACUGACAAAGUUCCAGGGCCUGAUGGUUUCAAUGGGCUUUUUUUCAAGAAAUGCUGGCACAUUAUCUCCCCUGAGUUUUAUCAGCUUGCUGCUGAAUUUCAUGCUGGCCAUGCCCAGCUGGUAAACAUGAAUUCUUCCUAUAUUACACUCAUUCCCAAAAAUAGGUCACCUGAACAUGUGGGAGAUUACAGACCAAUAUCUCUUACUGGAAUGGGUCUUCAAUUUUUGUCAAAAAUGCUUGCCAAUCGGCUACAAUUGCAGAUUGUUAAAUGUCUUCACAAGAAUCAGUACGGUUUUAUCAAAUCUAGGACUAUUCAGGAUUGUGUGGGCUGGACUCUUGAGUAUCUGAACCAAUGUCAUCAAUCCAAGAAGCCUAUAGUUAUCCUUAAGCUGGAUUUUGAAAAGGCAUUUGAUUCUGUGGAGCAUGAAUUCAUCUUCCAGAUUCUUAAAUCCAAGGGCUUCAAUGAUCGAUGGAUCCUUUGGGUUAGGGAGCUUCUAGCCUCUGGAUCUUCUUCAGUACUAAUCAAUGGUGUGCGUGGGAAGAAGUUCAUGUGUAAAAAAGGUGUCAGACAGGGAGAUCCUUUGUCCCCAUUGCUGUUUGCUAUUGCUGCUGACUUUCUACAAACUCUGGUGAAUCAACUGCUGGUGGAUGGACUGAUCCAGUUGCCUAUACCUACCCAUGAUAAAGAUUACCCUAUAGUGCAAUAUGCUGAUGAUACUCUCAUCAUCCUACCAGCUGACAAAUCACAGUUGUUGCAGCUUAAGAAAAUGCUUUUGCUUUUCUCUCAGUCCAAUGGAUUACAGGUGAAUUAUCACAAAUCUGCACUCCUACCUGUCAACACUCCUUCUCAGCAUCUGCAGGACCUGGCAGACUCCAUUGGUUGUAAAGUGGGAUCUCUACCCUUCACAUAUCUGGGACUGCCUGUUGGAACAACUAAACCUCGAAUCAUUGAUCUCAUGCCUCUGGUGGAUAAAAUGGAAAGAAGGCUCGGUGCUAGUUCCUCUUUUCUUGAUCAGGGGGGCAGACUGCAAUAUGUAAACUCAGCACUGUCUGCUGUUCCCCUUUUCUUCCUAUGCAGCCUGGAUAUACCACCAGGUAUACUGAAGCAAUUGGAGCGGAUUCAACGGCAAUGUCUAUGGAGAAGAAAUGGGAAUGAUCAUGCACCCUCUCUUGCUGCUUGGCCCCUGGUGUGCAGGCCUAAAAAUAAAGGGGGGUUAGGGAUUGUGAAUUUAGCCGUUCAGAAUGAAGCUCUCCUGCUCAAACAUGCUGAUAAAUUCCUUAAUCAUGCUGAUAUCCCUUGGGUUCAUCUGAUUUGGAACACUUACUAUCAUAACACUGUACCUCAGGGUACUGCACUUCGUGGCUCCUUUUGGUGGAAAGACAUCUGCAAACGUCUUGACCAAUUCAGAUCUGUUACCUAUGUUUUGCCUAAUAAGGGUGAUUCCUUCUUGUUUUGGUCUGAUUCCUGGUUACUUGGCAAAUCCACUAUGCCAUUGGCAGCUAGAUUCCAACGAUUGUUCUCCUUUGUGGCUGACCCUUUCUGCACAGCUCAAGAAGUCUUUGCUGCUUUUUCUGAGGACCGUAUGCUAUAUAUGUUUCACCUCCCACUGUGUGCUCAAGCUUAUCAGGAACUAACUGCUGUCCAAUCUUUACUUCUGGACCUGGACCUUGAUCAUCAGGCCUUUGACAGAUGGGUAUGGCGUAAGGAUGCUAAGGUCUACACACCUAAGGCCUACUAUGCUCAUGUUCAUAGCAGUAUUGUACCUAACCCUCUGCUUAACUGGAUCUGGAAAAGCUGUUGUACCAUGAAAGUUAAGAUGUUUGCCUGGGUGCUCAUUAUGGACAGGCUGAACACACAGGACAUGCUGGAAAGGCGUCACUGGAAGGUUUCUGAUUCUAAUCUCUGUGUGUUAUGCCAUGCCCGAGUCAAGGAAGACAGAGACCAUUUAUUCUUCACAUGCCUAUUCAGCACCAGGGUUUGGAACUACCUACAGAUCACUUGGCAGGGGUCAUCUAUGUGGACUGCUACUGCUGCAGCUAGAAAGAACUUCCCUCAUCCAUUCUUUGCUGAGGUUGUUUUCACUGCCUGUUGGAAUAUCUGGACUACCAGAAAUGCAAAGCUCUUCAACCAGGAACAGCCAAAGUUCAGGAAAUGGAGAGCUGGAUUUAUUCAUGACAUUUCUUUGUUAGCUCAUAGAAUUAAGGCUAGUUUCAGGGAUGAUCUCCUUAAGUGGAUUUCCUUUUUGCCUCCUUGAGGUCUGUAUCCCUCUGCUCCUCCCCCCUCUGUACAUUCUACAACCUCUCUUGUACAUACAGUUUUCAUAGUUGCAAUACAGAAAAUGGCUGUGGGGGGUUUUCCCUACAGUAGCCGGUCAAAAAAAAGUAAGCCUUAGUUUGGAACAUGGUUUUUAAAAAGCCAAUGUAUUUGUUUGAUCUGCUAUAUGCAAGUAUGGUAGUGUACGACCAGAUUAAUCACCUAUAGUUACAUGGCCAUGCACAAAGCCAGUUUCCUGUAGUCCUGUGUAGAAGUGUGCUCUAACUACCAAUUUAUUUCUAUAAAAAAGUGGAAGCCAGUUUCCUGUAGUCCUCUGUAGAAGUGUGCACAAAGCCAGUUUCCUCUAGUUCUACAAUAUAUGCAAAACCGUCAUACUUACUUGGGAAGCUAUGUUUUUUUGCAUUGCUCCAUAAUAAAAAUACAUGCAAGUUACUUUUCUAUUUUUUCAUAGCUCCGUAGCAAAGCACGGGCAUCAUGCUAGUUAUUCCCAAAAAACUGGGCUGACAUUAAAAAGUGAUCACAUUGUUCAUGUAAAUUGUAUUCUCAUUGUCAUUGAAUGCUAAUAUUGAUCAUAAUAUAGUCUGGUUCCAAAGUAGUUUUGAAGACUUCAACGUAUCCCAACAAGAGGAAUGUUGUGUAUGGUACUAUUCGUAGUACUGAUCCAACAACUAAGGCGUGUGGUAUUGAGUUAGGUGCUGAAUUUUCCCUUGUGCACAUAGAUCAACCUUUGCUUGAUAAUGAGGAGUUGGCAAGGGAAGUUUCUGAUUGCAAGAUAAUUGUUGAAGCGUUCUCUUCAGGAUACUUAAUUGCAUGACCUUCAGCUUUUGUAAGUUAAAUCUUCUCUUCAACAUUUUAAAUCAUAUUUGUGUGCAUUUAAUCACAUAUAUCUAACGUGCAAUUUUCUUUCUACAGAUUCGAGAGAAGGAUAAUUGAGUUACGGUAGAAUUCUUGGAUGCAGAAGCAAAUAAAAUCUGAAGAUUUUAUCUACCAAUAGUCGUAGUUUACAUUGAUAGAUUGAAAAACGUAAUAUCGUCCACAUGAUCUUUUGUUUCGUCCAGUUGAUGCAAAUUCUAUGGUGUAAUAUUCUUCAUAGUUGUGUUUUCUAUGCUCAAAAUGAUAUGAAUGAUAUCUUUAUUGUAAUGCAUAUGUAUCAUACACUUGUAUAUUCUUAAUCAGUAUCUUCAUAUUGAGGAUUUUUAUAUGUGUUGUGC